CCCUUAGAUGUUCUGGGCUGCACGCGUGCUACACUGAUAUUGCCAAUAUGUCAUUCUUAUCCGAAAUGGAUUGGGUAAUCAAGUAAUGAAAUUUCAUGCUUGGAAUCGGUAAUUGCAAUUUUAUCGUGAACGAGGAAUUCCUAGUAAGCACUAGUCAUCAGCUAAUGUUGAUUAUGUCCCUGCCCUUUGUACACACCGCCCGUCGCUACUACUGAUUGGGUGUUCAAGUGAGAUGCUUAGACUCUUGUUGCAUGGUUCAUUAUUGUGCUCCGAAAGGAAAAAGUUUCAAGCUUGAGUGUCUAGAGGAAGUAAAAGUCGUAACA
rnacentral:rRNA from 1 species